UAGGGAAUAUUGCAAAAUGGGCGAAAGCCCGAUGCAGCAACGCCGCGUGGGCGAUGAAGGCCUUCGGGUCGUAAAGCCCUUUUUGAGGGGAUGAGGAAGGACAGUACCCUCAGAAUAAGCCUCGGCUAACUACGUGCCAGCAGCCGCGGUAAAACGUAGGAGGCGAGCGUUAUCCGGAUUUACUGGGCGUAAAGCGCGUGCAGGCGGAUUGGAGAGUUGGAUGUGAAAGCUCCCGGCUUAACUGGGAGAGGUCUUUCAAUACUUCCAGUCUUGAGUGCAGUAGAGGGAAGUGUAAUUCCGGGUGUAGUGGUGAAAUGCGUAGAUAUCCGGAGGUACACCGGUGACGAAAGCGGCUUCCUGGACUGUAAC
rnacentral:rRNA from 1 species